rnacentral:rRNA from 1 species
CCUGAACGCUGGCGGCGUGGCUAAGACAUGCAAGUCGCACGGUGUAGCAAUACACAGUGGCGAACGGGUGAGUAAUGAAUCGCUAAUGUGCCCCGGACUCUGGGAUAGCCAGCCGAAAGGCUGGGUAAUACCAGAUGAGACCACGAACAGGCAUCUGUUUGUGCUCAAAGGUCCGCCGGUCUGGGAGCAGGCGAUUUCGUAUCAGCUAGUUGGNGAGGUAACGGCUCACCAAGGCGACGACGCGUAGCCGGACUGAGAGGUUGGCCGGCCACAUUGGGACUGAGACACUGCCCAGACUCCUACGGGGAGCUGCAGUAACGAAUCUUCCGCAAUGUACGAAAGUAUGACGGAGCGACGCCGCGUGUGGGACGAAGCCCUU